rnacentral:rRNA from 1 species
GUGGACCCGUUACCCGGGUUGCGGACAGUGUCUGGUGGGUAGUUUGACUGGGGCGGUCUCCUCCUAAAGAGUAACGGAGGAGCACGAAGGUUGGCUAAUCCUGGUCGGACAUCAGGAGGUUAGUGCAAUGGCAUAAGCCAGCUUGACUGCGAGCGUGACGGCGCGAGCAGGUGCGAAAGCAGGUCAUAGUGAUCCGGUGGUUCUGAAUGGAAGGGCCAUCGCUCAACGGAUAAAAGGUACUCCGGGGAUAACAGGCUGAUACCGCCCAAGAGUUCAUAUCGACGGCGGUGUUUGGCACCUCGAUGUCGGCUCAUCACAUCCUGGGGCUGAAGUAGGUCCCAAGGGUAUGGCUGUUCGCCAUUUAAAGUGGUACGCGAGCUGGGUUUAGAACGUCGUGAGACAGUUCGGUCCCUAUCUGCCGUGGGCGCUGGAGAACUGAGGGGGGCUGCUCCUAGUACGAGAGGACCGGAGUGGACGCAUCACUGGUGUUCGGGUUGUCAUGCCAAUGGCACUGCCCGGUAGCUAAAUGCGGAAGAGAUAAGUGCUGAAAGCAUCUAAGCACGAAACUUGCCCCGA